UGCAGAAUAAAUCUAACAUAUUUAAGAUAGUCUUUGAAUGUAUAUUUAUAUUUCAAAUAUGUUUGGUUAUAUUGGUACUGAAAUCCACCGACUCUGAGGAUCCCUCCCGUGGGAAAUAUAUCGAGAUCAACGACCCUAAUAAUUAUGAGGUUGCUAAAUUCCAGAACUUUCCUAAUUUCGUGAAGAGGUGGUAGUUAUCCAAUUUCAUUGGGAUACAACCUUCAUAUAUAAGUGGGGUAGAUCCAAGAAUCCAAUUCAACUAUCUUCAUUUGAAAAACCUCUGAGGUCCUUGCUCACUUAAGCAUUACUGUUUUUGUAUAUACCGUCCUUUUCUUUUUCCUUUGGAGAUAAUAGAGUCAUGGAGCACCGACAAUCGAAGUUGCCUAAAUCAAACAUGGCGAGAUCCAGGAUCCUAUACCAAAUUACAGGGAAGCCCUGGACCUAACCAACCAAGAGAAACCCAAAAAAGUAAGGCAGAACACACUAAGUUCAGCAGCUACUCAGUCGCUGAGCUAACUGUUCAACCAAAUCUACUUUUCGAAGCUUAUAAUAUUUUCUCACAUUGUGUUCCUUUGCCAUAGCCCUCAAAUCAGUCAAUGACAAGCUAUUCAAAGAUAAGGUCUCAUCAUGAGAAUCCACCAAGGAAUGUGACUUGUGAGUACGAGGAGCUAACUUGCUUUUUUUGUCCAUAGAAACCCCGUCUGAAUUUGAAAAUUUACUGUCAUAAAGAACAAUAGCACGACCUUCAGUCUCAUGCUUGUCUGGUUUCACUGCCCCUUUAGUAAUAAUCUUCCGCUUCAUUGACUCGUUUAAAAUGGUAACAUCAGUACAGGAUUUGGAUCUUCGCUGGCUCUUAGCUGAUACAACUAUGGAUGCACUUGGAAUAACUUCCGUACAACUGUCAAAUGGUUCUCUGGAAGAAAAUGCCUUUAGUUCCAGUUCCUUCUUUUCCGAAGCUUUAAGCUUUGAAGGGAAACUCAUCUUGGACUUUCUGAGGUUAGUUCUCAGUUGGGAUUUAAGGUCUUGUUCAUGUUCUUUCCCUUUAUCUUCAUCUACAUCCAUCAGCUGUAACCCAGUAUACAAUGAACUCUUGGUAUGCAUCCCUAGCAGUGAAAUCAAUGCAGAAUUUUCAGCAUUAAUAAGGGGUGGUGUUUUCAAUGUUGAACACUAGUCCAGAAUUAUUACCAUUGCUAUCUUUAACGGAGCAAAAUUCUGUAUCAGUGAUACAUAAUGUUUUAGGAUAAACAACUUGUAAAGGGUAAUUCAGGGAGUUCAAAUCUUCGUCUGGAGCAACCUUGGGUUCUUUCUUGCAGUCCCUUUGUGCAGCUUUUGGAGCAAAAUCACAUGGUUCUUUGUCUAAAUUAGGUUUUGCUCGUUUUUGUCGUUGUGAAGUAUCUAAUAUGGAAUGUGGACCCGUUUUCUUCCCAUUGAUGUCAAUUGCAGGUCUAAA